rnacentral:rRNA from 1 species
GAUUAUGGCUCAGGAUGAACGCUAGCUACAGGCUUAACACAUGCAAGUCGAGGGGCAGCAUUGGGAUAGCUUGCUAUUCAGAUGGCGACCGGCGCACGGGUGAGUAACGCGUAUCCAACCUUCCUGCCAGUAGGGAACAGCCCGGCGAAAGUCGGAUUAAUGCCCUAUGUUCUUCAAUGCGGACAUCUAAGUUGAAGGAAAGAUUCAUCGCUGGCAGAUGGGGAUGCGUCCGAUUAGCUUGCCGGCGGGGUAACGGCCCACCGGGGCGACGAUCGGUAGGGGUUCUGAGAGGAAGGUCCCCCACACUGGUACUGAGACACGGACCAGACUCCUACGGGAGGCAGCAGUGAGGAAUAUUGGGUCAAUGGGCGUAAGCCUGAACCAGCCAAGUAGCGUGCAAGGAUGACGGCCCUACGGGUUGUAAACUGCUUUUAUGCGGGGAUAAAGUGCGGCACGUGUGCCGCUUUGCAGGUACCGCAUGAAUAAGGACCGGCUAAUUCCGUGCCAGCCGCUGC